GUUGACCUCGGAUCAGGUAGGAAGACCCGCUGAACUUAAGCAUAUCAAUAGGCCCGGAGGAACUUAAAGAGU
rnacentral:rRNA from 1 species